GGCGGGCACCCAAGGGACUUGGGCGGGCACCCUGCCCCCGGGCCCGAUCGGCCUCCCGUUCGUUCCCGUGGCUUCUGGAGUCUUCUAGAUGGUAGAAAAUUGCGCGGCACAUUAAUAUCUCUAUGUAAACCUGACGUGUGGGCCUUUCUUUCAUAUUUCCUAAUAACCCCCUGUAGAAAUAGACAAACACCAAAACUCGUGGAAUUCUGUCAGAUAAAACCCUAAGUCUAGAUGUUGAUUUCAUUUGGAUCCUUUUCUUUGUUUAUUUGAUAAUUAAAUUUGAUACUUAAGGACCGUCAACAAACUCCCCCAAGCUUAUCUCUUGCUCAUCCCUGAGCAAGGAUAGACUCAGCAAUGGAUGAGAAGUUGUUGCAAUAUCUUAAAAAUUUGACGGUACACAUGCUUUUAAAUAAGAUCUCAUCUCUGAGUUAGAGUAAACUGUCAAGAACUAAAACUUACUUACUUUACCUUUCACCAUGGGACUUGUAACCGUCACUUCUGUCUUGAGUAGUUAAAAGAUAGAACAGUCUAGCCAAGUGCCAUGUCUCUUAUUCUUGAUCAGCUAUAGCUCUUGAGUUUUUGCAGAUUUUCAAAUAAAACUCAGAGAUUCCUUGUAUGACUCUCUAAAUCUCUCUUUUGUGGUAUUUCUGGAUCCUUACCAAGGCAGUGAUGGUAUAUGCCUUCUCUCAAGAUAUGUGGUAUUUGUGGUAUAAGGCAUAGUGACAUUGCCUUCUCUCUCACCCUACUCUAAUAAGGCUUUAAUAUCUAGAGCUCAUAGGUGGGAGAUAAAGUAUACAUACUUACAAGACAUUUAUUGUAUAGUCAAACCAUGGAUCCAAAGAAACAAAUCAAUAAGCCAAAUCAAGAUGUGCAUGUGUGGCAAAUGAAUGGUGUAUGGUGAUGAUGGUGAUAAUAAUGGUGAAAGUCUAAUUCUACUUUUGCUCUUUUGAGGGGAUACAUACCUUCCUUGCUUUUUGAAACUUUAUGAGGAGAAUGAGAUGCUCUAUCUUUCAUUUUUCUUUCCUCUCAGGUGGGUAUCCUGUACCCCUAAUUCUACUGUCGGACACUUGUCCAUUUUUACCUCUCGUCUCACUCUUUUUUUUUCUUUCGAGGUUCCGGGCACUUGCCCCUUUUUAUUUCCUCGUUUAUUUAUUUUUUUUCUUUUCUUCUCUUUUCUUUUUUCAGAGCACUCAUCUCUUGAGAUAAUAUAGCAAGUGGUAGUAGCAAGAUAACUUGAGCAUUUAUUUCAUAAGGGAAAACAGAAAUAUUUUUGGCUAUUCUCUCCCGAAUUAGGAGUAGAAUAUUUUUGGGUGGUUCUGGAGAUGAACAUGGAUGGAUAUAUGUGGAUGGUACUUCCGGAGUAGAAGUAGCAUAUAUGAGUGAACGUGCAAGUGAAUCUUGAUUUAACCACAUGACAAGCUCCUAAGGUUCUACAUAGCUUGACCACACUCAAUGCUCCUAAGCAGUAAAUAAUAAAUAUGUGGCUCAAAGUCUAGCAAGCAUGUAUAUAUAUGGUUGUGGUAGGAAUUUAAACUCUCACCAUACAGGAACUCAUCAUGCAAUAUUUUAAAGAUUUUUCAAAGAUAAAAUUCUCCAGAAUUCUAGCAUCUCUAGGCUCAACCUUUCCAUAUCGUAUCCGUUAACAACUUAGAUUUCAGAUCAAGUUUUCAUCCCACAAGUUUAGAUCUAGAGCAAGCUUUAAAUUAUAACAGUUAUGUCUAAACUUGAGAGAGAACUUCAAAUUUGCAAAUUAGGCAGAGCAACUAUUCAUCAUAUCCAUGCUAGAGUUUUAUUAUUAAGAUUCAGAUUAGCAUAGCCACUUUAUUUAUUUAUUAAACACACUAAGCAAAAGAUAUAUAUAUAAGCACAAAAUCUUUAUUUGGUUUUUCAUAGUUUAUGUAUUUUAAUAUUCUAAUAUAAUAUAAGUAUAAAGAUAGGUAGAAAUACUUAGCGAGAUAAAUGGGGGUGCUCUCCCCCAAGCUGAAUUUUGACGUAAUUUCUCUUGAUGUAGCUAGCAGGUGGCAGAGGUGUAUUUGAAAGUCAGCAGUAUUCUGACAGCGAUUAGAAUGUCCUCCGUCUGCUAGUCUUCUUGAUUCUUAAAUUCUGUGGAGCUCAAAUAGACAACAAAGCUUGUGGAACUAAUUAAGUGUUAGCAUAAAUAUAUAGCCUUCAUCAUGUUGAGCUUCCUCAACAAAUAUUACUCUCUGUUUUUAUAUUUUAAUUUUAUAAAGCAGAAAAGAAAUAUUUAUUUUAUUUUUAUGCCACCACAGUGAAGGUACUUAUGGGUUUUAUGCCACUCGUAUACUCACAUGGGGCUUAGUAUUUUUUAACAUUUUUAUUUUCUAUUCAAGAUAGCAUGAUUAACUAAUAAUCUAUUUAAGGAAAGUAAAUAAUUAAAGGGAAAAGGGAAUGCAGAAAGGAUAAAUAUGGAUAACUACCGAUCUUACCUUUCGGCGAUGGUUCAAUGUUUUAAGUCUUUUUAACAAGACUUCUCACCGUGUCCAUUCUUCAGGUGCGUCAUUUGAUUCAGGAGCGGACCUUGACGUCUGCACCUCUUGAUACGGUGUCACCCAUGUUCUUCGUUUGCCCAGCAGUUCGAAGUGCGGCGUUGGCAGUAACCUGCUCAGUGUGUUUGUGCUCGUAGAUCCAGGUCCUUCACUUGGUAGAGUCUGAGAGUUAUAAAACUCCUCUGUGUUUUUCUCAAAGUGUACCUGCUCAUAGAGACAAGGCAGAGAUCAAGUGCAUGGGUCCUGUUGGUGGAAAACACCAACAGAACCUAAAGUGUAUUUGUUCUUCUCUAACCCUAAGCAUAGUGAGCAAGACAAAGUUGAUGGAUGAAAAGUUCAUGAGUGUAGUACUUAUAACAUUUGUCAGAUCAGAUCGCUCAACCUUAUGGAAAGAUAAUCUAUCUAUGUAUAUGUCUUUUUCUUUAUAUCUCUCAAUGAUUGAAUGUGUAACAUUUUAGCUCAUAUGAUUAGGAGUGUGGGAUCAUGGAGGUAGUACUAAGAACAAGGAUUAAAGGACUAAACAUGUUGAAUCAGUUGGGUUGGUUAAUCUAGAGUUGUAAAUCAUACAUGUUUGUCUCUUUUAUUUAUAUGAACGCCAGAACCAAGGAGAAGCUUAUUUUAGUGAUAGUCAAGUACCUCAAGAUGUUACCUUGCUUGAAGAGUGAUGGUACAGUAUCACCUUGUGGAAGCUAUCCUUUCUUAGCGGUUGUGCAUCGUUUUUGUGGCACCCUCCAUGGAUCAUCUCUCUACGAUGAAUGAGCUAUGUCCUUCUUGUGCAAAUUGUUAAACUUCAUGUGUCACUCUCUUCGUCUCUGAUGUGAGUCUAUCUCAGGACUUCCCAAAUCGAUAUUGAAAGUUUUUUCUGCAGGGGUUAGUCCGACAAAAAUAUACCAAUGUCUACACAAGCAGUUUUUAGUUCAAUAACCGAACUAGACUCCAUGUCUAAUCACAUUAAGGAAGGCUGUUUAACCUAAGCACCAUGCUUAAUUUAAAAGCCCAUAGAAGUAUGUGCAGUACUUCCAAACUAACACUUACUAGACAAAGGUAACAUGACAGCAUUUAUAGAGAUCUACUCAAGUGGAGAUGAAGUAGUGUGAUUAGUAUUUAACAAAUUGAGCAUGUCUUAAAGGUAGGGACAACCAACAUAGCAACAUGGCAAAGGAUAUUUUUAUGUAAAGUACUCCCCCAAGCUUGAAUUUUGCAGAAUUCAAGUUUGGAUGAAUUUAAUUCAAUGUUGCAUGAUGAUUGGUUGGACAUACCUUGUACUUGCUUGUCAUUCAUCUGAUCUUCUUGUUCCAAUCUUGGAAAGGUUAGUGACAAGAAUACCCGAAGGAAUAUUUUUACAAUUAUCCUUAUAUGCUCAAUACACAAGGUAAUGUUGUAAAUAAUUAAAAACACAUGUUACGAUCUGAUCAGUGCUUAUUUUAGGACACCAAGCUUGUCCUUGGGAAACCAUCAAUUUAUGUCGGCGAAGUAGUUUCCCUUCCAACGCUGACCUAAAUCAAGAUCAACUCAACGAGAUCUGCAAUAUUUAUUAUAGACAUAUGCAUCGACAACCGCCCUUUUAAAGUUUUUAUAAAUAGAAAGGAAGAGGGGGUUGGAGAUCUCAAAUGUGGUGAUGUUGGAGAGACCAAUAGAUUGGGAAGAUGUUGCAUGUGAGCAUGGAGUAAACAAAGUGGCUAUGAAAUAAAUUCCAUGCUCAUUAAUGUUAUCUUCGUCUCCAAUUUGAAUGUUCAGAGUUUCGCUUGGAUUGGUCUCACUUAUGUCCUCUUCUAUAUUGGAUGAAUCUCAUCUUCAAAGGGAGUCAAGAACUCAUCAUUUGAAAUUGAGCCAAAGUCAGAAUCCAUUAAGGCUUCUUCCUUAUCCAUCCAUUCUACACAUUCUAGCCAUUUGGAACUUGUGAUCAGGAAAGGGGAGCUGAUAGAAUUUUCAAUAUGGCUUAGCUCUCCUUCACUUGAUAUGUCAUCCUCGACUUCUUCAUAACAGGAACCAGGACAUUCUCUAAGAGAACCAUUAUUGCGAGGAUUUGAAUUAUCCCUGCUUGAAGGUCUCUUAUGGAACCAGAAGUCUAAACCAUCAGCAUCUGAAAGAUUUAAGGUCGGAAUUCCUUCCUCCCUUGGAGAAUUUUGGGGUAUUGAUGGUUUAGGAUCGAUAGCUAAAGUUUGGAAUUGAAGUGGUUGUGAUCUGGCUAUCGAAACUUCUUCUUCUUGUCUAGGAACUGGUUUUGUCUCUUUCUCAGGGAUAUAAAAGCUAGGAGACUUUCCACUUAAUAAAUCAAUCAAAUUCCAAGCUUCACUAGCAGGUAGGUGAUAGAAGGAUCCUCUAGAGGCUGUAUUCAAGGUUUGCUUAUUUUCCCCACUAAGGCCCUCAAAAAAAUGAAUUAGAAGAACUUCUUCUGGAAUAGAAAGCUUUGGGCCAGUGAGAGUAAGGUUAAUAAAGCGGUCCCAUUAUUUCCUAAGAGAUUCUUCUUCCAGUUGUCUAAAAGAAAUAAUCUCACGCCGAAGUUCCGCCACUUUGGAGAUUGGAAAAUAUUUAGAAAGAAAACUACUAUAUAACUCCUUCCAAUCUCCAUGAACACUCCCUAUUUUGAGUUUGUACCAAUAUAUAGCUUUUCCCGUUAAAGAGAACGGAAAGAGCUUCCAUUUGAGGGUCUCAUCGGACAUUCCUUCUAUGCGAAGGAGGUCACAGACUUGAUAAAACUCUCUUAGGUGUGUGUAUGGGUUUUCCUCACCUUCUCCUGAGAAAGGUUGUUUUUGAACAAAUUCUAUGUAUUCGGGGUCUAUCUCAAAACUAGAUGCUAUGAUAGGCUUUGAAGAUUUUGGUGGUUCGAGAUGUGUGCCCGUACGUCUAUGAAAUUCAUAGAUAGACAUGUUUGAAUUCAUGAAAGACCAGAAAUCAAGGAUUAGAUAAGAAGAAAGAUUAGCAGAGAUGAGGCAAAGGAUAAAAGGAAAAUAUAUAUUUUUUUAUUUUUUUAGAAAAUGAUUAAGCUAGUUCGUAGUCAACUCAGCAACCGUUUCCCCGGCAACGGCACCAAAAAUGCUUGUUGACACUUGCUAACACCACUUGAAUACUAGGUUGUCAUCCCUAGCAUGGCACUAGAGUGUACUAUGGUAUUUAUACGCACACAGAUAAUCCGCAAGCGCACGGAUACCGUUGAAGCUUUUACCCGGUUAAAGGUUUUAUCGUAUCCACAGGGAAACGGGAGAACCAACUACGCUCUAACUUAACCAAGAUAGAUAGAUAGGUGAAAAUAGGAAAGAUAGUAGAAUCGAAUAAGAACAAUAUUAAAGGUAAGAUAACAGUGAGUGAUAAUAUGGGAAUAGAGAAUAGAGCAAUUCUAGUAUAUGGGCGAUGGUAGCAGAAUAGAGAGAAUAACUAUGGUUUCUCUACUUCAAAGGGGUAUGUCUAUGUCUGGGAGGAACCACGUGAUAAGAUUACACCACAAAGGAUGCUUAUCCAUAGGCCGAUAAACCCUACCCGUCCUGCUAACGAGAGGUGGACUAUAGAGGACCAACGUAACUAUCACCUACGCGGCCUACCACACGAUCCAGCUAGACAGGGGAUAUCCACAAGUAAUCUAGAUCUAAGCACCUCGCUUACACCUAUACUACAACUCUAACCUAUAGCGUCCUAUAGAUUAGAAGUACUCAAAAGAGUUGUGAACCAGAACAUACAUAAUUAGUAAUUGCAUAAUGAAUUAGAAGUAGAUUACUAGAGUCAUCCCAUGAGCAAGCUUGAUUAGAGCUUGAUCAUGACGAAGUACAACCGGAGGAAGAACCGACAAGCCGGCCUCUCCUCUAAUCCUCCUUCGCUCUCCAUCUUGCUACUAUCUAGAUCUACUCUAGUUUAGAGAAGAGAGGAGUGCUCUCAUCUCUAAACCCUAGGUUUUGCUCUGUCUAUGAAUAAUGAAUAAUGAUCAAGGGGUGCCUCCUCUAGGGGCCAGGGGGUCUGGUUAUAUAGUCUUUUCAGAUGAAUCUGGGCCGUCGGAUCAAACCGACAUUGAUCGUGUGGUUUUCCUUGAAGUAUUAGGUCGGUGGAGCAUGAUCCGCGAAGUUGAAGCUGAUUGGUUACUGUAGCUGGGCGGGCACCCAAGGGACUUGGGCGGGCACCCUGCCCCCGGGCCCGAUCGGCCUCCCGUUCGUUCCCGUGGCUUCUGGAGUCUUCUAGAUGGUAGAAAAUUGCGCGGCACGUUAAUAUCUCUAUGUAAACCCGACGUGUGGGCCUUUCUUUCAUAUUUCCUGAUAACCCCCUGCAGAAAUAGACAAACACCAAAACUCGUGGAAUUCUGUCAGAUAAAACCCUAAGUCUAGAUGUUGAUUUCAUUUGGAUCCUUUUCUUUGUUUAUUUGAUAAUUAAAUUUGAUACUUAAGGACCGUCAACAGUAGUGUCCGAGACUUGGGAAGUCUCCGAGGAACCCUCUCAGCUCUGCAACCAAGGCAAGCCCCGGAUGCAUUAACCCCUCCUUGAAUGUUUUAAAUCUUUUAUCACUUAUGAAUUGAAAAUGCUGCAUUACGUAGUUGAGAAUUGGGUUAACCUACUUGUUGCAUUUACUACCUUGAUAUUUGUUAUCUUGUCCUUGGCACCUGUUUUAUUUUAAAAUUGCGUAGUGAUGCUUAGCCCUACUACUAGAUAGGUUUUCAAACUAGAAAGUUUGAAGGGUUGUUGUGGAAUACUCUUAUGGUCAAUGAUGUUUCAACUUGAGACCGGUCGGUGGAUUUGCUUUAAGAAUGGAGUCUUAAAGUAGUGUCUCCAACUGUGUCGAUUAAGGACCGUUCCGUUGAUGGCCUGCUGGGUUGAGAAUUUAUAGUACUAGCCACUUGCCCUCGGUAAGCCCGGUCUUGUGAUCCCUCGACGCGAACGGCUACUCGCGCACUGGGCGUAGAGCGAUGGCGAGAGUAGUGUGUACCCUCCUGGCAAAUGGGCUGGAUGGUGGGGUACUGUGCUCUCGGGUGCCGCGAACCGGGUCAAAUUUGGGGACAGCUAGAUUUGGGUCGACAUAUGCAAGAUUUGGUUCUACAUAUGUCGGGUGGUUAGGAACUCCAGCUGGAUUGCUAAGCGGUUCGAAUCGUCGUUGCUCCUCGAUUGGGAGACUCAAUCCACUGACUCUCAUCGUAGUUAAAUAUGCAACUAAGUGGUAAAAUGAGAAAGGGGGAAAUGUCUCAUGAGGUUCGGAUCCCAAUUCCCGGACUUAGAGUGACAUGAAGCUAUGGCCGUUGGAUGGACAAUACUUUUAUUAAGGACUAGAAAUUUACACACUUGUCUUUAAAAAGCAAAUAGAUAGACUGUCCUCGAAUUCCUCGGCCUCUCGAGGUGAGCAAUUCGUGGCUAAAACUUGAAAGUAAGGAUGCACUAGUAGUAAGCUUUUAUGCAAAACAACUUGGCUCCUUGCUCAGCCACCCCUUGUCUACCCUAAGCCUGCAUUCCUAAGUUCUCCUCUUUUUCCGUCGGGUAAGUCUUGUUGAGUACUCCCGUACUCAGGGUUUUAUAACCCUUGUUGCAGGUGCUGACUUGUGCUGCUAAUGGUGGUCAUGUCGGUGGGCGCGACAUGAUUUGUCCACCUCUUCUACCUUAGAAGUUUCACCUAAGAUGCUUCCGCUACUCUACACACCUUUUGGAAAUUUAGUUAAGUUUGUACUUCAUCAUAUUUUGUAAAUUAAGUUAUAAAUCUUCCACACUCCGAUGUAAGUUAUUUUUGUAACAAAUGUUGUAGUGUUGUGGUAACUCCAUGUUGAUCCUGUAUGAGUAAAAAAAUGUGGAUGAUUCAGGGUCCUCUGAGGGCACCCGACAGACUAUCCGAGUUAUAUGACUCUCAUGUGCAGUAGUCAGAGGCCUUAAGGACAAUGACACGUGCAUGUGGGCCAUAUAAUUAGGAGGGUUCUGCCACACUAACCAUAGCUGAGCCAGGCACUGCCUACACACCGGACGCACAGACACGGCGUCCGGUGCCUCUGGGCCAGCGUCUAGUGACUUCUCCAAUUUUCCCAUCGGCGCAAUAGAAAAUAUGCACUUCAUUUCUCAAAAAGUUUUGAAUCCUGCUGAGCUUGCUCAGCGGGAGGGAGAGAGGAACCCAUCCUCUCUCUACCCUUCAAACUCCACCUCCUUCUCAAAGUGUGCUAACACCACCGAAUGUGUACCAACAAGUGCACGUGUGUUUGCAUUUUCACAAUCCUUUUCUUUGAAGGAGUUAAGUUAGCUCACUAGGUUCUAAAUGCAUGCACAUGAAUAAUGACACCUAGUGGCACUUGAUAACCGCUUAGCCAAAGAAUUCCCCUCUUUAUAGUACAGCUAUCUAUCCUAAAUGUGAUCACACUCUCUAUGGUGUCUUGAUUACCAAAACAAAAACCCUAAGCAAUACCUUUGCCUUGAACUCCAUAGGGUUUUGUUUUUCUCUUUCUUCUUUUCCAAGUUAAGCACUUGAUCACCUUGUGGUCAUAAACAUCAUCACCAUGAUCAUCACUUGCUCCACCACUUGGCAUGUACCAACCUCAUUAAGUCUACCCAUACUUAGCAUAGAGGUUAGUACUAGGGUUUCAUCAAUUAUCCAAAACCAAACUAGGGCUUUCACAAGGUGGCUACUCCUACCGAUAAGACUGAACUGCAAUCAUUGAUCGGCAAGAUUAAUUUCAUCAAGAGGUUCAUAUCUAAUUUAUCGGGCAAGAUUAAAGCUUUCAGUCUGUUGCUUAAAUUAAAGGUUGACCAGGAGUUUGUAUGGGAAACUGAGCAGCAGUUGGCCUUAGAUGACAUUAAAAAAUAUUUGACAAAUCCUCUAGUACUGGUUCCACCUCAACAUAGGAAACCCUUCAGACUAUAUUUGUCGACCGAUGAUACUAUUAUCGGUUCUGCUCUUAUUCAAGAAUUUGAAGGGAAAGAACGUGUCAUUUAUUAUUUGAGUAGGAGAUUGGUCAAUGCUGAAACAAGGUAUUUGGCUAUUGAAAAAUUAUACUUAUGUUUAUACUUUUCUUGUAUUAAGUUAAGGCAUUAUUUGCUAUCGGCCGAAUGCAUUGUCAUAUGCAAAGAUGAUGUGGUCAAAUACAUGUUGUCAAUGCCAAUUUUGAGUGGUUGGAUUGGCAAGUGGAUCUUAGCAUUAUCAGAAUUUGACCUACACUAUGAAUCGGCCAAGGCAGUUAAAGGGCAAGUUAUGGCUGAUUUUGUUAAUCAACAUUGCAAUACAGUGGAUUCUUUGGAAGUUGCUCCUUGGAUGUUUUUCUUUGAUGGGUCUACCUAUGAUCAGGGAGGAGGUAUCGGUGUUGUGUUAAUUUCACCCCGAGGAAGGAAGUAUGAGUUUUCAUUGUCGAUUGUUGCUACAUCGAUAAACAAUCGGGCUGAGUAUCAAGCUUUGGUAAGGGGGUUGGAAUUACUUAGAGAAAUACGUGCCGAUGCUGUUGAGGUCUUUGGUGAUUCUAUGCUUGUUAUAAAUCAAUUAAUUGGGAUUUAUGAAUGCCAAAGUGAGGUUUUAAUUUCAUAUUAUGAAAGGUGCUUGCAAUUGUUGAAAGAGUUCAAAGAUUUCCAUGUUGAGCAUAUUCCCCGGUUGCAUAAUGAGGAAGCUAAUCGACUAGCUCAGCAUGCGUCAGGGUAUCAGCUUAUCCAAGAGGUGUAAACAUCGAUAGUCGAUGUCGAUGAUUGGAGAACAGAGAUUGUUGAUUACUUAAGAGAUCCAUCCAAUAGAGUUGAAAGACGUGUGAGAUUCCAAGCUACUAAGUAUGUGCUCCUCGAUGAUGAAUUAUAUUAUCGCACUUUGGAUGGGGUUUUGCUCAGAUGUCUUAGUAAUGAUGAGUCAAAAAGUUUGAUGGGUGUAAUCCAUGAAGGAGUGUGUAGAGCACAUCAGUCAGCUUUUAAGAUGAAAUGGAUAGUCAGGAGAAAUGGAUAUUAUUGGCCGACUAUUCUUGAAGAUUGCUUUAAAUAGAUUAGACGAUGCUAAGGGUAUCAAAAGUUUGGCAAUAUUCAGAGAGCACCUGCAUCGGCCAUGAACACUAUCAUUAAACCCUGGCCGUUCCGGGGAUGGGCUAUUGAUGUUAUCAGUCAAAUUUAUCCGCCAUCAAGCAAAGGGCACAAAUUUAUACUUGUUGCCACCGAUUAUUUCACUAAGUGGGUUGAAGCAAUUCCUUUGAAAAAGGUGACAUCGGCCAAUAUGAUUGAUUUUGUAAAGGAGCAUAUUGUUUACCGAUUUGGUAUUCCUCAAACAAUCACUACCGAUCAGGACAGGCCGAGGCUUCUAACAAAGGGUUCAUUAAACUCAUUAAGCAUAAAAUUGAAGAAAACCCUAGGUAGUGGCAUACAUUGUUAAACGAGGCCCUGUGGUCCUAUCGGAUGGCGUGUCAUGGUGCAACUAAUGUAUCGCCUUAUGAGUUGGUAUAUGGACAUGAUGCAGUAAUACUUUGGGAAAUUAAAACUGGUUCUAGGUGGGUAUUUUCUCAAGAUCAAUUAACGACCAAUGCUUAUGGUACUCUGAUGAAAGAUGAGUUGGAAGAUUUGGCAGGUCAUCGGUUGAGAGCUUUGGUUAGCAUUGAAUAAAAUAAGAAAAGAGUGGCCAGGUGGUAUGAUAAAGGGUAAAAGCCAAGGAAUUUGCCGAUGAAGAUUUAGUUUGGAAAUUGAUUCUACCGAUUGGGGCUAAAAGUUCGAAGUUUGGUAAAUGGUCUCCUAAUUGAGAAGGUCCCUAUCGAAGGGGUUGAAUUUCCCAAAGCGUUAAAUGGAAAGUAUUUAAAGAAGUACUAUCCUAGUAUUUGGAAUGAUGCAUAAAAUUUUAAGUGCCGAUAACAAUCCUAUCGGCUAGACAAAAGUAUCAAUGUUUCCAAGAGGUACCGGUGCAGGAUACUGCUGAUAAAGAAAUUUAUAAAUUUAGCAAAGACUGAAUUGUCGAUAUUGCACGUAGGCGAAUUUGGUCAGCAUCUUCUAUCUCUUUAAUGUCUUCAUCGGCGGAGCCUUCUGCUGGUUUAAGGUUUUUCUUCAUCCCUAAGGCUUUACGGGCUUGAACAUCUCUCUCCUAUUGAAGGGUCUUGAUAGAAUCGGGCAACUGACUUUUCUCUUGUUUAGCAUGGGCUAAUGCUUCUUCAACUUCCUUUAAUUCAGCUAGCAGAGCUUCCCUCCUUGCCGAUAGGUCUAAGAUAUUCUGCUUCAACUCGACACCUGAGGUUUGCAAACUGCCAAUGCUCUUGUUCUUUUCAUCAGCAAUAUGCUUUACUUGCAGCAUCUCUUCUUUAAGUUCAGCCUGGGCAGCUCUAUCGGCAAUACGUUGAGCAGCCUUUUAAUAUUGGAGCUGGCGGUUUUCCAAGUGAGCAGCUUGGAAGAGUGCUUCUUCGACAUUGGCAGGGACUUGGCCACGGACUGUUUUGAAGAUAACUUUUGCCGAGUCUGAAUCAUCUACCAGCUGAGCUGUGUCUUGAUGCAACAAGUUCAGCAGAUCCUCCAGCCUAGAUCUAACUUCUGCCGAUACUGUUCCAAGCGCUAAUGAGGAGCUUGCCUCUUCCCCUUCAUCAUCAGAGAUAUCGAUGGCAAAGGAAAAUAGGCUAUAGGGAGAGUCUUGUUGCUAAGAAAAGAAAAUGAGUCAAUUGAAAGCAAGUAUGAGUAGUGCAGAUCGGUUAAGUCGGAUAGCUUACUUGUUUCAAGGCAAUCUCUUGACUUUGGCUGGAAGACGCAGUCUGGGUUAUGCUCUAAUGAGGGUUGGCUGGGUCUGCCCAUGGAAUAUCUUCAGCUGCAGAAUUGAUUAAUGUUGAGAAUAAUGGCGAUUUCUUUGCAGCUUUAUCGGUAGUGGAUUAUUGAAAUAUGACAAUUAAUGACAUACCUUGUGCGGGCAGAGUGAUGGUUUGCUUAGGAGCAGUGGCCGAUGACGUGCCUUGAUUGGACGGGUCAAUUGUUUGUUCAGGUGCAUGGACCGGAUCAGGUUGACUAGGAGACACCAGCUGAGGUGGAGAAGAUGGUGCAACUCUGUGCCGUUUUGGUUGGGCCUUCGUGCCUGUGAGAGCCUUUUGCUUAGAUUGUGCUUUAGCAGCUGCUGGCUGGGGGGCAUCAGCACCCGAUGGUUGAACAUCCUGGACUCUUGCCGAUGCAUCAGUUUGUUGCUGCAAAACAAAUGUAAGGCAUUGUCGACGAAAGCUAGUCGGCAGUCUACCUUGGGGUAUACCCACGGUAGUAGUUUAUCGGUAGACGGUGCGCAAGCUACGAACUCGAUGGUGACGCAAGACACGGACAAGCUUUUUAUCCAGGUUCAGCCGCCGUGUGGGCGUAAUACCUACGUCCUGCGUUUUGUUGUAUUGAUUUGUGUUGAGAGAAUAAUGUGGCCUAGGGGGGUCCCUUGCCCCUCCUUAUAUAGUCCGGAGGGCAGGGUUACCGAUCUGGAAACUAAUCCUAGUCGGUUACAAUUGCCAUAGAUAGUUCGAUAUCAAUUCCUAUUCUAACCGUCUAGAAUCAUGCUUGAUCUCCACGUCUUGUUUCCUUGCGCGAAACUCCGAGCGGUCGGAUCAAGCUUCGAACUUGUCUCGUAAUGGGCCAAGCCUCAUGGCCCAAGUCUAGCCGUAAGGGUAUAGGGGUUUAUACCCCCACAGCUAGUCUCCGAGCACCAUGUAUUGUGAUGUAGCACGCCGUCUUGAGCUUCUUCGAUUAGUCAGGCUUGACGUCUUCAAUAAGCAGGAAAAUCACCCAAGCAGUCGCAACGAUGUUUUGACUAACUUAAAAGACAGUUGACCAACGCUGACAUCGAAGAAGCAGGUUGUUCGAAGAAUGCAUGGUGUUCUAAAUUGAAAAAGAUUUCUUUCCUAGUGAAGUGUGCCCACUUUACUUUUCUGAAAAGUGCAGAGCUCAUAAAAGCAAGCAUAUUCACCGCAAGGUGAAGUGUGCCCACUUAGUCCCCGAGCCUGGUAGUAGGUGGCGUAGACACGUGGUCCCAGGUUCAAAAGAAAAGUCCUCAGAGAAAUUCUGAAACCAAGAUGCAUCACCAGAUGCAUCGUACCGAUGUAGUCCCCGAGCUUGCUGGAAGGCGAAGUAUAAGCCUUGUAGCAAAGUCUAAAAAAUUAAAAUUAUCCAGUCCCCGAGCAUCUCAUGCUCGUUUGCCAUCGGAUAGACUUAUCAAUCAGUCCCGAGCAGAUAACGCCUUGGUGAUUGGUAUAGUCCCUAAUUCUUCCAAACUGGCGAGCUGGUCGACCAGUCCCCGGGCGUACAGCGCUCGGUGGUCGGUGCGGCCCCCAGAUCUCCGAGUUGGCGGACUGGGCGACCAGUCCCCGAGCAUACAGUGCUCGGUGGUCGGUGCAGUCCCUAGAUCUCCGAACUGGCGGACUGGGCGACCAGUCCCCGAGCAUACAAUGCUCGGUGGUCGGUGCAGUCUCCAGAUCUCCAAGCUGGCGGACUCGGCGACCAGUCCCCGAGCAUACAGUGCUCGGUGGUCGGUGCAAUCCCCAGAUCUCCGAGCUGGCGAAACUGGGCAACGAGUCCACGAGCAUACAGUGCUCGGUGGUCGGCGCAGUCCCCAGGAACGUUGAUCUUCCACCGAUUUUUUUCUAUUAUUUUAUAAAAAGCAUCUUACCACAUAAAUGAGUGAUAUGACGAGACCUCCUGACACAUUGUCAGAUGGUUGCAUGAAAAGGUGCGCCUGGUAACUGUGCAGCCGCUCUUUGCGCGGUUUCGAGAAAAGGAAACCAUCAAUUAUACAAAAAGGCCGCCGUAUUAACUGCCGGUAAUUAUUAAAAACCGAAGCGCUGCGUUUGCCGUUGGGCCCGCCCACUUCCCAAGAAUGCGGGAAGUGGGAGGAGUGGAGUUGUGGUUUAUAAAAGCCUGACAGUACCCCCGUAUUGCUUACCCUGUCAUCGCCUUCAAGCUUUCCGUUCUUGCCUUCUACAACCACCGUCAAUCCUCCCAACUCGCAGUCACUCCAGCAACGUCAAUGGCGAAGAGCGACUCCAAGAAGAGGGCCGAGCGGAUGGCUAAGGAAUGGAAAAAGUCCCAGAGCAGCGUGAAGUCCCUCAACGACCUCGUCGACAUGGGGCUACCGCACAGCCAAGAGCUCGGCGGCUGGAGGGCGCCAGAGGGGGAGAGCUACCCCGACCCCCGUGCCGGUGAGAUCGUGGUUUUUGGGUUCCUGUCCAUCCUUUUCUCCAGGGGCUUCUUCUGUACUAUGAGAUCGUGAUCUGCAAUCUGCAUCCAAACUCAAUUCUUCUUUUUUCCACUUUUAUCCAUCUGUGCGAGGCCUAUGUUGGGAUAGAGCCGCACUUCGAUCUUUUCCGUUAUCUUUUCUGUUUGAGGAAGAAGGGAGCGGUUGGCGGCACCAAGAUUGUAGGUGGAGUAUACCUUAAUCUUCGUGACGGGAUGAAGAACCGGUAUCUAAACUGCCCAUGGAACACUUCUCUCACCGAAUGGUACAAGAAGUGGUUCUACGUCAGGGAAGAGCCGGGCAGCUCCACGUUCUGCGACGUGGGGUACAUUCCCGAGAAGAGGGUCAGUUGGACCGACCGCCCAGAGUUCGCUGGUCAAGUAGCGAAUCUGAUGAAGCUGAUCGACUGGUCGCGUUUGGACGGGCUAGGAGUGGUCGGCAACUUCGUCUGUCGUGGCAGUAGGGCAGAUGGCGGCGAUGGUGCGCGGGGUACGCUAUCUAUUGGCGUCGUCGCGUGGCCGCUCUGCUGACUAGCCAUCAUGACUAUUGUCUUCGUGCGUGGAGCUAUCGGCCCCUCCACCGAGAGGUUCGCCUGUCCCGUACGGGGUGAUGAUCGUGCAGUAGUGGUGGGGCGGUGGCGAUGCUGAUCACGCCUCCUCUUAGGCGGGGAAGCAUGGUGGUGAGGCUACCUUGGGGCCUUCAAUCGUAUGGGCAUGAUGCAAGCCCCUCCCGGUCCUCUGACUGAGAGUAGGAUCAUGUCGUAGCCGAAGCCAGUGGACAUGAACUCAAGGCUCCCGAACCAGAUCACCGUGGAGCGCGGGAUCACCGAAACGUGAAUAGCCAUGAAAAAAAUGGGAAAUCAUCAGUAACAUGCAAGGCCCCUACCUGGUGCACCAACUGUUGGUGUUUUGCCCCUGGGGUAACACCAACGAGUGAAUUUGUAUGCGUGCUCCCUUUUCCAGAUGGUUAUGCAAGAAUGACACAAGUGUUUAUCCUAGUUCGGGCAAAGGAAGGCCCUACGUCUAGUGGGGGGGACAGUGUGUAUUAUCAUGCACCUAAGUGCUUGUACAGGGCCGAAUACAAGUGGAUGCAACUGAGGAUUCUAAGUCCUAGCAGGUUGUAGGGAUGUAUGAACUGUGUUCUACGUAUGUUGUUCGGUUCCCUUCAUAUCGUCCUCAGCAUCCCCUUUUAUAGUUCCAAGGGGAGGCCUAGGUUACAAGGUAUAGGUGUUCUAAGUAGGCCUCGAUAGGGGUAUGGUGCUGACCUACUCGAGACCUCCGUACCGGUGUGGCCUCGAGCCGUCUUGUUACAGGGUACUUUGGUGAUGAUGGCACGUGCAUUUCCUGAGCUUAUCCCCUGCGUAUCGACUGGUAUUGGCUCGAGCGUGCGCACGCUUGUAUGUCACGACAGUCGUCAUGUCUGGAGUGGUUGGAGCGCUGACUUUUAUUGCUCAAUCCUUCCCUGGGAAGGGGCGUGCAUGCUCGAGGGUCCGGCAGCACAGGCGGCUCUGUUAUACAUGAGCACUGACCUUACCGUCUCGAGGGGCGUCUUGAUAGGAUAUUACGCCUACUGCACUGUACCGGAUGUACUUUUCUCCAAUCUUGAGGAUAAAGCUAGGAAAAGGGGGGAUUUGAUGGGUGCACGUUCCCCUUUCACGUUUCCCAUGAGUGUCGGGUUAGGUGGGAGCAUGUCAGUCGCAUUAAAUGCCCUGGCUUCUGUACCCGUGACAGGCGGCGGGGGAGCGCUUUUGCGCUUGAGGCCCACCGAUUCGCUCGACACCCUUUCCCUAACCGAUGGCUGCGGGUUGUCGAGCCUCUGACCAUUUGCUCGACCGUAUUUUCGUACUCGAGGCUAGGGUCAACAAUGUGCUGUGGGUCGAGCGACGGCUUUGGUGCACCUGUUUUUGCACUAGAUCGUCAAGCCUGACCCUCGAGUUGUCUUUGGACCUUUUCAUUAUGAAUGUUUGCUGGGGUACCCCCAAUUGACACCCUCGACAGGGGAGUUGCUGAUGAUGUCCCAGUUGCAGUCGUUAUGCCCUGAAAAGAUGGUGUAAAUAUAGAUUGAAAUCGGCAUGAUUAAAAUAAUUAAGGUUGUUACCUUAAAUGUUUGCACCAAGGUAGCGGCAGCGACCGAAGGAGUGGCAUAUGGACGCUUGGUGGUAAUCUUCUUAAAACAAGCUCCCCGAUGGGUCAAGGCUGCCAAAGUGGGGGCAUUGUAGUCGAUUGCUGAGAUCGGAGACACUGACCGGAGAUCAAAAGGUCGCCCACUUUCGCUCAUGGCUGGUUCUAGAUCAUCGACCUUUCAAAUGAAAGAGUUAGUUACCGAUGGAGUUAAAAAUAAAGAAAGGAUUAAGUAUUGGGAGAAAACUUACUGCGUCAUCAGGGAUAGCAUGCUCGGGGUCGAUGAGGUGCCGAUAUGUGUGAGCCGAUGCUGCAAAUAGUUGGCCUCUCCACUCUUGCCACCAUGACUUGUAAGACCCAGUGAUGAAGGAGGUCGGUACCUAGGUGGACAGAUCGACGUUGUUGGGUAUUCUUAACAUCAUUACCAAAAGUAGACUUAGUUUUCUAAUUUUGAUAACGGUGCCAAAAAUGCCAAACCUAUCCCUCAUACCACUUAAGCCAAGUUGUCAUCCCCAGCAUGAUAUGAGAGACGCGGUAUUGAAAUAUGCAAUUGCUCAUCUAAAUAAAUAAUAAAUGGGAUCUACAAGCGCACAGAUUAAUACCGAUGUAACAUUUUAACCGGGAAGUAUUCCAGGUAUCUUUAUUUAUAUUUUUACCACUGGAAGGGAUUAGUAAUCAUCAAUGUUGAUUAUAGAAUGGAAUAUGAGAUUGAGUAUCUAUCAUUGCAUGUAUAAUUGAGAACAUUUAUCUAACUCUUUCAUACAGCGGUAAGUGUCACAUAAAGGAUAUAAAGUAAUGAAUAGUGAUAAAGAUAAUUAAUCUGAUCAACAUAACUUAGCCACAUAAUAAAUAUGAUAAGCACCUCAAUUAGAUAUUCUAGCAAGUCAUUAGCAUGGAAUUAGAACGAACUACAAGAAUAUUUCCUAAGUUAUUCUUAACUAUACAGUCUAGCAUAUCAUAGUUAGUGCAAUUAUACUUAGCAAUCAUUGUGAGACAGGACUACGCCCAUGCAUAGUGAUAUUAGCAAGGAAUAUGAGAAACAUCGUAAUCACUCCCCUGUAAUAAUGUUGCUCUGCCAGCCCAAUGCAUGAGAGGGGGACUAUAUAAGAAGAAAAUGAAGCUGUCACUAUCAUGAACUACCCCACGAUCUGGCAUAUUGGGUACAAUCAUAGAUAAAUACGGUAUAAGCAUCACGCCUACACAAUAUCUAUCAUUUACCCAUGGAUCCGAUGGAUAAACGCUAUACGAUCCUAAACAUGUAUAUUAAUCCAAUCUAACUAAGCUAAGUAUAUAACUAUGAUAAACUAAGAACAAUAUAAUUGCGAAUAUAAACAAGUAGAGCAAAGUCAUAAGCAAUAUAUUGAUGUAGAACAAAGUCAUAUUCAUAAUAUUGAAGAACAAAGAUGAACAAUUAGAAGAACAAUUAGAGAUUUACCAAGAAUCCUCUUGACAGAUCCGGAAACCAAUCAAAGAUUGACUCCUUCUAGUUCUAAUCCUAUGUGGCUAAGCUAAUCUAGAUGUCUAAUUGAUGUGGUGGCUCUAGGCUUGAUCAGAGGCUUCUUCUCCCUUGAGGAAUAAUGAAUUAGGUUUGAGAGGCUCUCUCCUCCAGGGGCCAGGGGGUCUGGUUUUAUAGUCCCUGCAAGUGAAUCUGGGCCGUUGGAUCGAACCGACGUUGAUUGAACGGUUAUCCUUGAUCCUUUAGGUCGGUGGAGCUUGAUCCCGAAAGAGUGUCCUCAUUGGACUCCAACAGGGGGCGGGCGCCCAGGGCUAGGCCCCGUUUGGCCUCCGCUUCGUUCCUGUGGCUUCUGUUGACGGUCCUUAAGUACCAAAUAUAAUCAUCAAAUAAAUAAAGAAAAGGAUCCAAAUGCAAUCAACACCUAGACUUAGGGUUUGAUCUGACAGAAUUCCACGAGUUUUGUUGUUUAUCUGUUUCUACAGGGGGUUAUCAGGAAAUAAGGAAGAAAGGCCCACAUGUCAGGAUUACAUAGAGAUAUCAACGCACUGCGCAAUUUUCUACCAUCUAGAAGACUCCAGAAGCCACAGGAAGAAAGCAGAGGCCGAAAGGGGCCAGGCCCAGGGCGCCCGCCCUGAGGACCUGGGCACCCGGCCCCCCCUCUGGAUGCCAAUCGGGACUCUUUUCGCACACGACGUUCCACCGACCUAAAGGAUCAAGGGUAACGUAGUACCACAUUGCCUGCUGACCCAAAAAUGCACAGAGGAGGAGGACUAUAUAAGCAGACCCCCUGGCCCCUGGAGGAGUCAAGUUUAUCAUAGAGUUGAGGGGUGCCCUCGAAGGAAAACCUAUUCUCUAAAUAAAAUUUCUUUUUAGGCUCAGCAACCAAUGUAAGUAGAAAUAGAUCUUCUAGUUUCUACUAGAUUGAGAGAGAUAGAGUGGAGGUGUAGAUCGGAGGAAGGCCGGCCUGUCGGUGUCUACUCCGAGGUUGUACCUACGGGAUCAAGUCUUCUAACCUGAGGCUUGCUCCUAAGAUUCUUCAGUAAUUCGACUUCUAAUUCUAGUAAGUUCUUGUUUUAUUGUUCUUUGGUUUAUGAGUUUACUUUAAUCCUCUUCCGGUUGAGUAUUAGAGUAAUCAUUGCUAGCGUAAACGUGGUGUUUAGGCUAGGGUACUCAUAGAUAUCCCCUGACUAGCUGGACCGUGGUAGUAGCGAGGAACGUGACAUUUCCGAGUUACCUUUGUAUCCCAUAUCUCGUUAGCAGGACGGGUAGGUUUAUAGGUGCGGGUCGAACAUCCUUUGUGGUGUCUAGAUUCCGUAAGCUUCCCCAAUAGAACAGUAGAUCAUCCUUACCAAGGUUAGAACAAGACUACGGUUGCAGUCUUCUCUAUACAUCACUCACAUCGAGAAACAUUCUUUGUAGCCUAAAGGGGCAGUAGCAAUAGAUUUGGUUAGUCAGAUGCACCCUUUCUCCCAAUGGUAAAAAAAUAAAUACGAUACUCUGCAAAAACCUCCCGGGUGAAAUGCUCACCGAUAUCCGUGCGCUUGCGGAUCAGUUCCUUAUUGCGUUACCAAAUAUCAACAAGCAUUUAUGGCACCGUUGCCGGGGAGAAAGACGGUUUGCUGAGAUAACUUUAAGUCUUGCUAUUAUCUUGUAUUUUACUCUUAUACUUUUAUUCUUUUAUCUUUUUAUUUUUAUGGAUAACUUAAAUUCCAUACCUAUUAUUGAAUUCUUUGCACCUUUGGAGACCAGCCAUAGACCAUGGGAGUCAGCAAGUCCUGCCCCUAAUUAUGAUCUGUGUCCGGAGUUGAUUGCAAUAGGUGAAAACCAACCCUUUUCUAUAGCCGAGAUCCUAUCUUUUAAUCAAAAAGAUAAUGCACUUUUAGCUACACCUAGGGAAUCUGUUAAUCUUUCUAUAAAUUCUGGUUUAGACCUAGCCCUACAAGACCAUGUUUUUUCUCAAUAUUUUCACAUUAAUCUUAGUCAUAUAACCUUUGGUAGAGUCUUUCUUUCUUUAUCUAUUAGUAAAGGAAGGUAUGUCUUCAUUUGUGGACAUCCUUCUUGCACUAGUCUUCAUAAAAAUAUCCUAGAGAUAGAGAAGGAAUCAUCUCCCAGACAAGGAAAGGAAGUUUCAAUAACCGAUUUCCAAACAUUCCAAUCCCAUGAUUCGGCUAUCCAACCCAUCUUUGAGCUUAACAAUUUCUACUAUGCUCUUUCUCUUGAACCUCCCGAUGAUCCUAUGAAUCUCUCUAGACAUCCCAUGCAUAAGAGUCACCAAGACCACAAGGAGGAUCGGGAAGAGCAACAUCAAUGGCUUGAGGGCAUUAAAAAUCCAUGUGCUAUCACCAUUAAAUGGAUGGAUAAAACAAACUUGAGAGACAAUGCUAGAGGAAUUUUAAGCAUUCAUGAAGAAUCAUCCUUGGAGUUUGAGAAUGAGAGAAACAACAGUGAGCAUGGAAGUUAUUUCAUAAAUACCUCAUCAAGUCCUUGCUCAUAUAAAACAUCUCCCCAAUCAAUUGGUCUCUCUAACCUUACCACAUUUGAGAUCUCCAACCCCCUCUUCCUUUCUAUUUAUAAAAACUUUAAAAGAGCGGUUGUCGAUGCAUAUGUCUAUAAUAAAUAUUGCAGAUCUCGUUGAGUUAAUUGAUGGUUUUCCAAGGACAAGCUUAGUGUCCUAAAACAAGCACUGAUCAGAUCGUAACAUGAACUUCGAAUUAUUUGCAUCAUUGCCUUGUGUAUUGAGCAUAUAAAGAUAGUUGUAGAAAUAUUUCUUCGGGUAUUCUUGUCACUAACCUUUCCAGGAUUGGAGCAAGAAGAUCGGAUGAAUGACAAGCACAAGGUAUGCCCAACCAAUCAUCAUACAACAUUGAAUUAAAUUCAUCCAAUCUUGAAUUUUGCAAAAUUCAAGCUUGGGGGAGUACUUUACAUAAAAACAUCAUUUGCCAUGUUGCUAUGUUGGUUGUCCUUACCUUUGAGACAUGCUCAAUUUGUUAAAUACUAAUCACACUACUUCAUAUCCACUUGAGUAGAUCUCUAUAAAUGCCAUCACGCUACCUUUGUUUAUCCUAGUAAGUGUUAGUUUGGAAGUACUGCACAUACUUCUAUUGGCUUUUAAAUUAAGCAUGGUGCUUAGGUUAAAUAGCCUUCCUUAAUCUGAUUAGACAUGGAGUCUAGUUCAGUUAUUGAACUAAAAACUGCUUGUGUAGACUUUGGUAUAUUUUGUUGGACUAACCCCUGCAGGAAAACUUUCAAUAUCAACCUGGGAAGUCCUGAGAUACAAACUCAUUGGAGAUAAAGGAGACACAUGAAGUUUAACAAUUUACACAAGAAGGACAUAGCUCAUUCAUCAUAAAGAGAUCAUCUAUGGAGGGUGCCACAAACACGAUCCACAACUACUAAGAAAGGAAAGCUUCCACAAGGUGAUACUAUACCAUCACUCUUCAAGUAAGGUAACAUCUUAAGGUACUUGACUAUUGCUUUUAUAAGCUUCUCCUUGGUUCUGGCGUUCACAUAAAAUAAAGAGACAAACAUGUAUGAUUUUAGCUCCAAAUUAAUGAACCCAAUUAAUUCAACAUGUUUAGUCCUUUAAUCUUUGUUCUUAGUACUACCUUCGUGAUCCCACACUCCUAAUCAUAUAAGCUAAAAUGUUGUACAUUCAAUCUUUCGAAGAUAUAAACAAAACAUAAAUAUAGAUAGACUAUCUUUCCAUUAGGUUGAGCCAUCUGAUCUGACAAAUGUUUCAAAUACUACACUCAUGAUCUUAUUAUCCAUCAACUUUGUCUUGCUCACUAUGCUUAAGGUUAGAGAAGAACAAAUACACUUUUGGUUCUGUUGGUGUUUUCCACCAAUAGGGCCCACGCACUUGAUCUCUGCCUUGUCUCUAUGAAUAGGUACACUUCAAACAAAACAUGGAGGAGUUUUACAACUCCCAGACUCCACCAAGUGAAGGACUUGGAUCUACAAGCGCAAACACACUGAGCAGGAUAUUGCCAACACCGCACUUCGAACUGCUGGGCAAACGAAGAACAUGGGUGACUCUAUAUCAAGAGGUGCAGACGUCAAGGUCCACACCUAAUCAAAUGAUGCACCUAAAGGAUGAAGACGGUGAGAAGUCUUGUCUAGAAGACUUAAAACAUUGGAUCCUUGUCGGAAGAGGUCAAUAUCGUCGACUCAAGUCACCUUUCCUAAUCAAGAAAGACAACCCUGGUGUUCCAAGCAUCGAGUGCACAAUCAACGGAUACUCUUUUUAGAAGACACUCUAUGACACCGGAUCUGACGACAACAUAAUGGCCACAGUCACUUAUUAGCUCCUACAUGGAACCAUGCUCCUACAACCAAGAUACAUUCAGCUCCAGACGAUUUUCAGGUCAUUGACAUGGGAGAAGACGAGUAUGAUCCACCCACCAUCCUUGGAAGACCGUUCCUCAACACUAUCAAAGCCAUCAUCUAUAUUAGAACCGGAGAAGUCCACAUGUACUUCCCCUCUGAGAAGGUACGCAGCUAUUUUAAUUUAUUGGCCCUAACUAUAUAGUUGAAGACUCUAAGCAGGUCAGGACAAGAAGACGACGCAACCGCAACCAGAGGAGGAAAAUCAUCAAGAACGGAUGGGUAGACUACGAAGGAGAAGUGAUAAGGACUGAAGACAUACAGCUUGAACAGAACUGCCCUGAGGAGACCAUAGCACCGAGUCAGGUGUGGAGAGAGAAGAUACUUAUACACGAAGAAGAGGCGCCACCGGAAUCACCGACUACGCCACCUAGUGAAUCCCAGGAUGACUGAAAACACAAGGAGUCCCGUUCGGAGGACUUAAAAACACCGAACGCCUUGCCAAGAGGAAAACUUGGUUGUUAUCCUUUUCCUUUCAAUUAUUCAAUUAUAGUUUGCUUAGUUAAUCAGGUUCAUGCUAUCUUGAAAAGAAAAUAAAAAUGUUAAAAAAUAGUAAGCCCCAUGUGAGUAUGCUCAUGGCAUAAAACCCAUAAGUACAUUCACUAUGGUGGCAUAAAAAUAAAAUAAAUAAGUUUUCAUCUUACAAUAAAAAUAUAAAAAUAAUAAGUGCAUGAUCCUGCUAAAUAAGUAACAUUUAUUGAGGAGGCUCAACAUGAUAAAGGCUAGAUAUUUAUGCUAACACUUAACCAGUUCCACAAAGCUUUGUUGUCUAUUUGAGCUCCAUAGAAUUCAAGGAUAAAAAAAAAAGAGAGACUAGCAGACGAAGGACAUCCUAAUCGCUGUCAGGGUGCUGCCGACUUUCAAAUACACCUCCACCACCUGCUAGCAACAUCAGAAGAAAUUAUGUCAAAAUCCAGCUUGGGGGAGAGCACCCCCAUUUAUCCAGCUAAGUGUUUCUACUCACGUUUAUACUUUACUCAAAUAAUAAAAGAUGCAUAAUCAAGAAAACCCAAAUAAAGAUUUUGUGCUUUUAUAUAUAUAUCAUUGCUUAGUUUGCUAAAUAAAUAAAUAAAUAAAGUUUGCUAUGAACCCUCAUGAUAAACUCUGAUAUGGAAAUGAUGAUUAGUUGCUCUGCCAUGACUAGUUCUUAAAAUUGAAAUCUCUCUUAAGUUUAGGCAUGACUGUUAUGAAGUAAGAUUUGCUCUAAACCUGAACUUGUGGAAAGAGUACUUUAUCUAAAGUCUAAGUUGUUAACGGAUAUGAUAUGGGAAGGUUGAGCUGCUAUUUAUCUGUUCCUAGAGAUGCUAGAAUUCUGGAGAAUUUAUCUUUGAAAAAUCUUUAAAAUAUCACAUGAUGAAUUCCUAUAUGAUGAGAGUUUAAAAUCCUACCACAACCAUAUAUACAUGCUUAUUAGACUUUGAGCCACACAUUUACUUUUUACUGCUUAUGAGCAUUGAGUGUGGUCAAGCUGUGUAGACCAUUAGGAGCUUGUCAUGUGGUUAAAAUCAAGAUUCACUUGCACGUUCACUCAUAUACUCAUAUAUGCUACUUCUACUCAGGAAGUACGCAUCCAGAUACAUCCACUCAAUUCCAUCUCCACAUUCACCCAAAAGUAUUCUUCUCCUAUCCGGGAGAGAAUAGCCAAAAAAUAUUUUCCUAUCCCUAUUAUUCCUUGUGAAAUAAAUGCUCCAGUUAUUUUGGUUACUACCACUUGCUACAUUAUUUCAGGAGAUGAGUGCUCUAAAAAAAAGAAAAGAAAAAAAGAGAGAAAGGAUACGAGAAAAUAAAAAGGGGCAAGUGCCCGGAACCUCGAAAAAAAGAAAAAGUGAGACGAGAGGUAAAAAUGGACAAGUGUCCGAUAGUAGAAUUAGGGGUACAAAGCUACCCACCUGAGAGAAAAAGAAAAAUAAAAUAUAGAGCAUCUCAUUCUCCUCAAAAAGCUUCAAAGUGCAAGAAAGGUAUGUAUCCCCUAAAAAGAGCAAAAGUAGAAUUAGAUUUUCACCAUUGUUAUCACCAUCAUCACCAUACACCAUUCGCUCGCCACACAUGCACAUCUUGAUUUGACUUAUUGACUUGUUUCUCUGGAUCCAUGGUUUGACUAUGCAAUAAAUGUCUUGUAAGUAUGUAUUAGCUGUCUCCCACCUAUGAGCUCCAGAUAUCAAAACCUUAUUAGAGUAGGGUGAGAGAGAAGGUAAUAUCACUAUGUAUUAUACCAAAAAUACCACAUACUUUGAGAGAAGGCAUAUACCAUUACUGCCUUGGUAAGGAUCCAGAAAUAACACAAAAGAGAGAUUUGAGUGAAUCAUAUAAGGAAUCUCUGAGUUUUAUUUAAAAAUCUGCAAAAACUCCAGAGCUAUAGCUGACCAAGAAUAAGAGACAUGGCGCUUGACUUGACCGUUCCAUCUUUUAACUGCUCAAGACACAAGUGACGGUUACAAGCCCCAUGGUGAAAGGUAAAAUGAGUAAGUUUUAAGUCUUAACAGUUUAUUCUAACUCAGAGAUGAGAUCUUGUUUGAAUGCGUGUGUACUUUUAAGGCAUGAAACCACUGCAGAAACUCUUAAGUCCAUCCUUGCUCAGCGGCGAGCAAGAGGUAAGCUUGGGGGAGUUGUUGAUGGUCCUUAAGUACCAAAUAUAAUCAUCAAAUAAAUAAAGAAAAGGAUCUAAAUGCAACCAACACCUAGACUUAGGGUUUGAUCUGACAGAAUUCCACGAGUUUUGUUGUUUAUCUGUUUCUACAGGGGGUUAUCAGGAAAUAAGGAAGAAAGGCCCACAUGUCGGGAUUAAAUAGAGAUAUCAACGCACCGCGCAAUUUUCUACCAUCUAGAAGACUCCAGAAGCCACAGAAAGAAAGCAGAGGCCGAAAGGGGCCAGGCAUAGGGCGCCCGCCCUGAGGACCUGGGCGCCCGCCCCCCCUCUGGAUGCCAAUCGGGACUCUUUUCGCACACGACGUUCCACCGACCUAAAGGAUCAAGGAUAACGUAGUACCACAUCUCCUGCUGACCCAAAAAUGCACAGAGGAGGAGGACUAUAUAAGCAGACCCCUGGCCCCUGGAGGAGACAAGUUUAUCAUAGAGUUGAGGGGUGCCCUCGAAGGAAAACCUCUUCUCUAAAUAAAAUUUCUUUUUAGGCUUAGCAACCAAUAUAAGUAGAAAUAGAUCUUCUAGUUUCUACUAGAUUGAGAGAGAUAGAGUGGAGGUGUAGAUCGGAGGAAGGCCGGCCUGUUGGUGUCUACUCCGAGGUUGUACCUACGGGAUCAAGUCUUCUAACCCGAGGCUUGCUCCUAAGAUUCUUCAGUAAUUCGACUUCUAAUUCUAGUAAGUUCUUGUUUUAUUAUUCUUUGGUUUAUGAGUUUACUUUAAUCCUCUUCCGGUUGAGUAUUAGAGUAAUCAUUGCUAGCGUAAACGUGGUGUUUAGGCUAGGGUACUCAUAGAUAUCCCCUGACUAGCUGGACCGUGGUAUUAGCGAGGAACGUGACAUUUCCGAGUUACCUUUGUAUCCCAUAUCUCGUUAGCAGGACGGGUAGGUUUAUAGGUGCGGGUCGAACAUCCUUUGUGGUGUCUAGAUUCCGUAAGCUUCCCCAAUAGAACAGUAGAUCAUCCUUACCAAGGUUAGAACAAGACUACGGUUGCAGUCUUCUCUAUACAUCACUCACAUCGAGAAACAUUCUUUGUAGCCUAAAGGGGUAGUAGCAAUAGAUUUGGUUAGUCAGAUGCACCCUUUCUCCCAGUGGUAAAAAAAUAAAUACGAUACUCUCGAAAACCUCCCGUGUGAAAUGCUCACCGAUAUCCGUGCGCUUGCGGAUCAUUUCCUUAUUGCGUUACCAAAUAUCAACAGCUUCUAGAGUCUUCUAGAUGUAAGAUAAUUGCACGGUACGUUAAUAUCUCUAGGUAAUCCCGACGUGUGGGCCUUUCUUUCGUAUUUCCUAAUAACCCCCUGCAGAAAUAGACAAACACCAAAACUCGUGGAAUUCUGUCAGAUAAAACCCUAAGUCUAGAUGUUGAUUUCAUUUGGAUCCUUUUCUUUGUUUAUUUGAUAAUUAAAUUUGAUACUUAAAGACCGUCAACAAACUCCCCCAAGCUUACCUCUUGCUCGUCCCUGAGCAAGGAUAAUCUCACCGAUGGAUCAGAAGUUGUUGCAAUACCUUUAAAAGUUGACGGUACACAUGCUUCUAAAGAAGGUCUCAUGUGUGAGUUAGAGUAAACUGUCAAGACUUAAAACUUACCUACUUUACCUUUCACCAUGGGACUUGUAACCGUCACUUCUGUCUUGAGUAGUUAAAAGAUAGAACGGUCUAGUCAAGUGCCAUGUCUCUUAUUCUUGAUCAGCUAUAGCUCUGAAGUUUUUGCAGAUUUUCAAAUAAAACUCAGAGAUUCCUUGUAUGACUCUCUUAGAUCUCUCUUUUGUGGUAUUUCUAGAUUCUUACCAAGGCAGUAAUGGUAUAUGCCUUCUCUCAAAAAGUAUGUGAUAUUUGUGGUAUAAGGCAUAGUGACAUUGCCUUCUCUCUCACCCGACUCUAAUAAGGCUUAAAUAUCUGGAGCUCAUAGGUGGAAGAUAAAAUAUACAUACUCACAAGACAUGUAUUGUAUAGUCAAACCAUGGAUCCAAAGAAACAAAUCAAUAAGUCAAAUCAAGAUGUGCAUGUGUGGCAAAUGAAUGGUAUAUGGUGAUGAUGGUGAUAACAAUGGUGAAAGUCUAAAUCUUUUGCUCUUUGAGGGGAUACAUACCUUUCUUGCUUUUUGAAACUUUGUGAGGAGAAUGAGAUGCUCUUCUUUUUAUUUUCUCUUUCCUCUCAGAUGGGCAUCUUGUACCCCUAAUUCUACUGUCGAACACUUGUCCAUUUUUACCUCUCGUCUCACUUUUUCUUUUCUUUUGAGGUUCUGGGCACUUGCCCCUUUUUAUUUCCUCGUAUCUCUUUUUUUAGAGCACUCAUCUCUUGAGAUAAUAUAGCAAGUGGUAGUAACAAGAUAACUUGAGCAUUUAUUUCAUAGGAGAAAAACAGAAAUAUUUUUGGUCAUUCUCUCCCGGAUUAGGAGUAGAAUGUUUUUGGGUGGUUUCUGAAGAUGGAAAUGGGUGGAUAUAUGUGGAUGCGUACUUCUGAAGUAGAAGCAGCAUGUGUGAGUGAUCGUGCAAGUGAAGCUUGAUUUAACCACAUGACAAGCUCCUAAGGGUCUACACAGCUUGACCACACUCAAUG
rnacentral:lncRNA from 1 species